rnacentral:rRNA from 1 species
UACAGAGGUCUCAAGCGUUGUUCGGAUUCAUUGGGCGUAAAGAGCUCGUAGGCGGUCUGUCGCGUCGGCUGUGAAAUCCCGAGGCUCAACCUCGGGUCUGCAGUCGAUACGGGCAAACUAGAGUAUUGCAGGGGAGACUGGAAUUCCUGGUGUAGCGGUGAAAUGCGCAGAUAUCAGGAGGAACACCGGUGGCGAAGGCGGGUCUCUGGGCAAUAACUGACGCUGAGGAGCGAAAGCGUGGGGAGCGAACAGG